UACAGAGGUCCCAAGCGUUGUUCGGAUUCACUGGGCGUAAAGGGUGCGUAGGUGGUGAGGUAAGUUUGAUGUGAAAUCUCUGGGCUUAACCCAGAAAUGGCAUUGAAUACUAUCUCGCUUGAGAGUCGGAGGGGGGACUGGAAUACUUGGUGUAGCAGUGAAAUGCGUAGAUAUCAAGUGGAACACCAGUGGCGAAGGCGAGUCCCUGGACGACUUCUGACACUGAGGCACGAAAGCUAGGGGAGCAAACAGG
rnacentral:rRNA from 1 species